rnacentral:rRNA from 1 species
GACGAACGCUGGCGGCGUGCUUAACACAUGCAAGUCGAACGAGUGGCGAACGGGUGAGUAAUGUCUGGGAAACUGCCUGAUGGAGGGGGAUAACUACUGGAAACGGUAGCUAAUACCGCAUACCAUCAGAUGUGCCCAGAUGGGAGUAGCUUGUUGGUGGGGUAGCGGCUCACCAAGGCGACGAGCCCUAGCUGGUUUGAGAGGAUGACCAGCCACACUGGAACGGAGACACGGCCCAGACUCCUACGGGAGGCAGCAGUGGGGAAUAUUGCACAAUGGGCGAAAGCCUGAUCCAGCCAUGCCGCGUGUAUGAAGAAGGCCCUAGGGUUGUAAAGUACUUUCAGCGGGGAGGCGUUACCCGCAGAAGAAGCACCGGCUAACUCCGUGCCAGCCGCCGCGGUAAUUC